AGGCUUAACACAUGCAAGUCGAGGGGUAACAGUCCCGCUUCGGCGGGAGCUGACGACCGGCGCACGGGUGAGUAACGCGUAUGCAACUUUCCUGUAACUGGAGGAUAGCCCCUGGAAACGGGGAUUAAUACUGCGUAAUACCUAAAUACCGCAUGGUAUUAAGGUCAAAGCUUCGGCGGUUAAAGAUGGGCAUGCGUGGCAUUAGAUAGUUGGUAGGGUAACGGCCUACCAAGUCAGCGAUGCCUAGGGGGUCUGAGAGGAUGGUCCCCCACACUGGUACUGAGACACGGACCAGACUCCUACGGGAGGCAGCAGUGAGGAAUAUUGGGCAAUGGACGCAAGUCUGACCCAGCCAUGCCGCGUGCAGGAUGACGGCCCUAUGGGUUGUAAACUGCUUUUUUACGGGAAGAAUAGGCACUACGUGUAGUGAUUUGACGGUACCGUACGAAUAAGCACCGGCUAACUCCGUGCCAGCAGCCGCGGUAAUACGGAGGGUGCAGGCGUUAUCCGGAUUUAUUGGGUUUAAAGGGUCCGCAGGCGGAUCUGUAAGUCAGUGGUGAAAGCCUUCAGCUCAACUGUAGAACUGCCAUUGAGACUUAAGGCCUUGAGUAUAGUUGAGGUAGGCGGAAUGUGUAAUGUAGCGGUGAAAUGCUUAGAUAUUACACAGAACACCGAUUGCGUAGGCAGCUUACUAAGCUAUAACUGACGCUGAUGCACGAAAGCGUGGGGAGCGAACAGGAUUAGAUACCCUGGUAGUCCACGCCGUAAACGAUGAUCACUCGUUGUUGGCAAUACACCGUCAGCGACUGAGCGAAAGCAUUAAGUGAUCCACCUGGGGAGUACGGUCGCAAGAUUGAAACUCAAAGGAAUUGACGGGGGCCCGCACAAGCGGAGGAACAUGUGGUUUAAUUGGAUGAUACGCGACGAAACUUACCUGGGCUUAAAUGUAGAGUGACGGAUCGGGAAACUGAUCUUUCUUCGGACGCUUUGCAAGGUGCUGCAUGGCUGUCGUCAGCUCGUGCCGUGAGGUGUCGGGUUAAGUCCCAUAACGAGCGCAACCCUCAUCAUUAGUUGCCAGCGAGUAAUGUCGGGGACUCUAAUGAAACUGCCGGUGUAAACCGUGAGGAAGGUGGGGAUGACGUCAAGUCAGCACGGCCCUUAUGUCCAGGGCUACACACGUGUUACAAUGGUCGAUACAAAGGGCAGCUACCUGGUGACAGGAUGCUAAUCUCCAAAAUCGAUCUCAGUUCGGAUCGAAGUCUGCAACUCGACUUCGUGAAGCUGGAUUCGCUAGUAAUCGCGCAUCAGCCACGGCGCGGUGAAUACGUUCCCGGGCCUUGUACCACCGCCCGUCAAGCCAUGGAAGCUUGGGGUACCUGAAGGCCGUAACCGC
rnacentral:rRNA from 1 species